GUGGGGAAUAUUGGACAAUGGGCGAAAGCCUGAUCCAGCCAUGCCGCGUGUGUGAAGAAGGUCUUCGGAUUGUAAAGCACUUUAAGUUGGGAGGAAGGGCAGUAAGUUAAUACCUUGCUGUUUUGACGUUACCGACAGAAUAAGCACCGGCUAACUUCGUGCCAGCAGCCGCGGUAAUACGAAGGGUGCAAGCGUUAAUCGGAAUUACUGGGCGUAAAGCGCGCGUAGGUGGUUCAGUAAGUUGGAAGUGAAAUCCCCGGGCUCAACCUGGGAACUGCUUUCAAAACUGCUGAGCUAGAGUACGGUAGAGGGUGGUGGAAUUUCCUGUGUAGCGGUGAAAUGCGUAGAUAUAGGAAGGAACACCAGUGGCGAAGGCGACCACCUGGACUGAUACUGACACUGAGGUGCGAAAGCGUGGGGAGCAAACAGGAUUAGAUACCCUUGUAGUCC
rnacentral:rRNA from 1 species